CUUGACUCUAAAUAGGUCUUGGAAUAAGGGGUGGGUAAGGACGGUGCCAGCCGCCGCGGUAAUACCGGCGCCUCAAGUGGUAGUCGCUUUUAUUGGGCCUAAAACGUCCGUAGCCGGUCUGAUACAUUCGUGGGUAAAUCAACCAGCUCAACUGGUUGAAUUCUGCGAGGACGGUCAAACUUGGGACCGGGAGAGGUGUGGGGUACGCUCAGGGUAGGGGUAAAAUCCUGUCAUCCUGAGCGGACCACCUGUUGCGAAGGCGCCACACUAGAACGGAUCCGACGGUCAGGGACGAAGCCUAGGGGCACGAACCGGAUUAAAUACCCGGGUAGUCCUAGGUGUAAACGCUGUGGACUUGAUGUUGGGGGUGCUCCGAGCACUCUCAGUGUCGAAGCGAAGGUGAUAAGUCCACUGCCUGGGAAGUACGGUCGCAAG
rnacentral:rRNA from 1 species